GCGAGGUUCGCUUAUUGGUAAAGCCCAGUCGAAGACUGAAAACCAGGUUCGAUUCCUGGACCCCGCACCA
rnacentral:tRNA from 1 species